UUAUUGAAAAUGUAAAAUUAUUUCAUUGGUAUUAAUAGUUAAGAUCUUUAAAUUAAAAGAAUUUGACGGUAAUUUAUCAUUCCAGAGGAGCCUGUCCUAUAAUCGAUAACCCACGUUAAAUUUUACCUCAAUUUUUGCUUAUAUACCUCUGUUAUAAGAGUGUUUUAUUAGGAAUUAAUUCUCUCUUGUUUUUUUAAAAUAUAUAUCAGGUCAAGGUUUAGUUAUAUUGAGGUUGAGAUGGGCUACAUUUAAUUUUUAUUAUUGGAUUUUUAUUUUUAUUAAUAAAAUGAAAUUGGAUUUGGUUGUAAUUUUUAUUAUAUAUUAUUUAUGAUAUUUGUUCUAGAUUAAGUACAUAUCGCCCGUCACUCUCAUUAUUAAUAUGAGAUAAGUCGUAACAAAGUAAGUUUACCGGAAGGUGAACUUGGAAAUAUACAGAUUAGUCCGCUAGGCAUGUUAUUAUUUACAUUAAUAAUCAAAAUUUGUGCAAUUCAAAUUAAUCUGAUUUAUUUAUUUAUUUAAUUUAUUUAUUCUUUUAUUUAUAUUUUAUAGAAAUAACUUUCUUUUUAGUAAUUCUUAUUGAAUAAUUUAUUUUUUAUUUAUAGUUAAUUUUACUGUUAAGGUAAAUAAUUUUAAUUUGUUAAAGUAGAAUUAUUUAUUUGUACCUUUUGCAUCAGGGUUUAUCAAUUAUAUUUAAUUAUUAUUAAUUUUCCCGAAAUAGUAAUAGAUAUUUUAAUUUGUUAUUUUAUGUGACAUAAUAAUUGAUAAAUUUAAAAUAGGAGUGAUAUGCUAUUCAUUUACUAAUAUCUGGUUUCUUGAGAAUUGAAUUUAAUUUAGAAUUAUUAAGGAUUUAAUUUAAUUUAAUUGGUUAAAUUUUAAUAAUUUAAUGUUAUUAGGGAUUAGCUUUUUAACAUUUAUAUAACUUUAUUUUUUAUUUAUAUUUUAUAGGGUUAAUAACACCCAUUUAUAUUUCGUUAUAGUUAUAUUUAUAUUUUAUUUUUAUUUUAUUGGGUUUAUUUUUUUAUCAGGAUUUAUUAUUUAAUUAAUAAAUAGUAUUAAUAAUGAUAAAAUUAGUAGUUUUUAUAUUUUAUAUACAGGAAUUCGGCAAAUAUAAUAUUCACCUGUUUAACAAAAACAUGUCUUAUUGUAAAUUUAUAUUAAGUCUUGCCUGCUCAAUGAUAAUAUUUAUUAAAUAGCCGCAGUAUUUUGACUGUGCAAAGGUAGCAUAAUCAUUUGUCUUUUAAUUGUGGACUUGUAUGAAUGGUUUGAUGAGAUAUUAGCUUUCUUUAUAUAAAAUUGAUUAAUUUAAUUUCUUAGUUAAAAAGCUGAGAUAAUCUUAUAGGACGAGAAGACCCUAUAGAAUUUUAUCCAUACAUUUAUAAAUUAUAUUUGGAUAUUUUUUAUUUUUAUGGAUGUAUGUAUUUUGUUGGGGUGACAGGGAAAUUUACAUAACUUUCUUUAUUUAUAUAUUAUUAAUUUAUAUAUUUAUGAUCCUUUUUUAAGGAUAUUAAGAUUAAAUUACCUUAGGGAUAACAGCGUAAUUUCUUUGGAGAGUUCUUAUCGAUAAUGAAGU
rnacentral:rRNA from 1 species